rnacentral:rRNA from 1 species
GACGAACGCUGGCGGCGUGCUUAACACAUGCAAGUCGAACGAGUGGCGAACGGGUGAGUAAUACGUGAGUAACCUGCCCUCUUUUUGGGAUAAGCCUUGGUAACGGGGUCUAAUACCGGAUAAAGGGGGAUGGGCUCGCGGCCUGUCAGCUUGUUGGUGGGGUGAUGGCCUAUCAAGGCGGUGACGGGUAGCCGGCCUGAGAGGGUGGCAUGUCGCGUUUGGGCUGGUAUACGGCCCAGACUCCUACGGACGGCAGCAGUGGGGGGUAUUGCACAAUGGGCGACAGCCUGAUGCCGCGCCGCGGCGUGGGGGAUGAGGGCCUUAGGGUUGUAAAGCUCUGUUAAUCGGGACGCGGUACCGGAAUAGAAGGCCACGGCUAACUACGUGCCAGCAGCCGCGGUAAUUC